rnacentral:rRNA from 1 species
GUGGUAACGGGUAACGGAGAAUCAGGGUUUGAUUCCGGAGAAGGAGCCUGAGAAACGGCUACUACUUCCAAGGAAGGCAGCAGGCGCGCAAAUUACCCAAUCCCGACACGGGGAGGUAGUGACAAAAAAUAACAAUACCGGUCUUAUUUAAGUCUGGUAAUUGGAAUGAGUACAAUCUAAAACCCUCAACGAGUAUCAAUUGGAGGGCAAGUCUGGUGCCAGCAGCCGCGGUAAUUCCAGCUCCAAUAGCAUAUAUUAAAGUUGUUGCAGUUAAAAAGCUCGUAGUUGGAUUUUGGAGCUAUUUUCCAUAGAGUCCGCUCGUAAUGAGUGUGUUUACUUUAUGGGAGGCUCUCCUUACUGGAUAUUCACUAUUAUUCUUCACGGGAUAGUAGUUUUCAUCUGGCUGUCAAAGGUUGGGUGGAGUGCUUGGUGGGUCUGGGGGUCGGGAUUGUGGAUUUUCAGACGGGGCAACCUGUUUGGAGAUUCUGCCUGGUCCACUUCCGUCAAAGUAGAAUUCCAGUUCUUUUACUUUGAGUAAAUUAGAGUGUUCAAAGCAAACGAAUUAAAUUUUGUAAUGAAUACUAUUAGCAUGGGAUAAUGGAACAGGACGUUGGUUCUAUUUUAUUGGUUUCUAGAACUAAUGUAAUGAUUAAAAGGGAUAGUUGGGGGCAUUAGUAUUUAAUUGUCAGAGGUGAAAUUCUUGGAUUUAUGAAAGACUAACUUCUGCGAAAGCAUUUGUCAAAGAUGUUUUCAUUAAUCAAGAACGAAAGUUAGGGGAUCGAAGACGAUCAGAUACCGUCGUAAUCUUAACCAUAAACUAUGCCGACCAGGGAUUGGAAGACGUUUAAUUUAUAUAUGACUCCUUCAGCACCUUACGAGAAAUCAUAAGUUUUUGGGUUCUGGGGGGAGUAUGGUCGCAAGGCUGAAACUUAAAGGAAUUGACGGAAGGGCACCACCAGGAGUGGAGCCUGCGGCUUAAUUUGACCCAACACGGGAAAACUCACCAGGUCCAGACACAGUUAGGAUUGACAGAUUGAGAGCUCUUUCUUGAUUCUGUGGGUGGUGGUGCAUGGCCGUUCUUAGUUGGUGGAGUGAUUUGUCUGGUUAAUUCCGAUAACGAACGAGACCUCAGCCUGCUAAUUAGUUGGAUAAAUUAUAACGCUUAUGAGGGUCCUUGUUGAAGCUUGAUCCUUGUGGUUGAGAUUCA